rnacentral:rRNA from 1 species
CCGACCCCAGGUCAGGCGGGACUACCCGCUGAGU